rnacentral:rRNA from 1 species
GACGAACGCUGGCGGCGUGCUUAACACAUGCAAGUCGUACGGUAAGGCCCUUUCGGGGGUACACGAGUGGCGAACGGGUGAGUAACACGUGAGUAACCUGCCCACAACUUUGGGAUAACGCUAGGAAACUGGUGCUAAUACUGGAUAUGUGCUCCUGCUGCAUGGUGGGGGUUGGAAAGCUCCGGCGGUUGUGGAUGGACUCGCGGCCUAUCAGCUUGUUGGUGGGGUAGUGGCCUACCAAGGCGGCGACGGGUAGCCGGCCUGAGAGGGUGACCGGCCACAUUGGGGCUGAGAUACGGCCCAGACUCCUACGGGGGGCAGCAGUGGGGAAUAUUGCACAAUGGGCGCAAGCCUGAUGCAGCAACGCCGCGGGCGGGAAGACGGGCUUUGGGUUGUAAACCGCUUUCAGCAGGGACGAAGCUUUUUGUGACGGUACCUGCAGAAGAAGCACCGGCUAACUACGUG